AACCCCGGGCACAUGCACAUCCCUUAAUGAUCGAUUUCAAAUUUGCAACAUCCUAGGAACUGUGCCGACCCAUUCAUUAUUCGUAAAACAUCUCCAUAUAACAAAGCAGUGGGAUAGAACGUAGAAUAAUAUUCUUCAAGCCACACCUACAAUAUCGUAGUACUUAUGUAUAUAGACCAGUUUAACACUCCAAGAUCCGAUACAAAAAGUGAAGCUGUUGAUAACCCACGAGCUAAGCUUCUAUUUACAAGAUUGAGGUUCAUUACUACACUACCCUACUUCUCGAUUUCUUUGGGGUAAGCCGUCACCCUACAUCCAGUCUUGACGAAAAACCCGUCAUCACUUGGAAGGAGAUAGCUAGAGCCAUACUCUUCUUUUAUUGCGACUGACUGUACACGACUUGGUCUUCCUCCAUCUAGGGACCUGAAAAAUUUAGCCCACAAUAGGAUGAGAUCACAUCUCGGCGAGUAAAUCCUUUAAAUCUCGAGUAUGAGAAUGGUACAUCCUGUAUGCAAUCUAGUCACAUUUCUUACUACUCUUUUAAUGCCAGCAAAUUCCUGCAUAUUAAUAUCUAUUAAAACAUUCAUAAAAGUAUCGAAUUCACACAUCACAUGAAUACUUUAACGUGAGUAUAUGCAAGGACGUGAAUAUCAAUGUAAGCAUACAGGCCACAGUUAAUGCAACAGAUAACAGUCUUCCGGCAAAAUCGGGCAUCGCCUCGCACCAUCAAACGCAGCAACGUCUACCUCUAGAUGGCAUUCUAAUUAGGAGCAUUAGUCCAGCAUCCGCUGCGAUCGGCAUCCGUUGACUUUGGGCAUUCUCGAAUGAGCAUCAUCCGGUCUCAAGGCUCAUAACGGAUUCUCAUAUCAUGUAUACAUUCAUUAAAUGUCACAGUUCAACGCUCAAUUACAUAAUUCAAUUGCAACAUCAAUUAAACAAUUUUUACAGCAAGAAACAUCCCAAACAGUUAUGAAUUUCCACUAAUCAGAAUUAACAAAAACUAUCCAAUUGCGCAUUCUCGGAUUUAAUGCCAAAAACCAACUCAUAUGAGUUCGAAAAAUUCUAAAAUUUGAACAUGUGCUAAAGUACAUGUAAACAAACAUUUGUCAUGAGACACCGAAGCUCAGAUCCCUCUAGAUUCGGCCUAGAAAUUCACGCAAUCCAGCACUAAAAUUAGGUUCGUUUCCAAUGGUUUUGUUUUCCGAAAUGAGCUUAGUUUGGGGUCCUAAAUAGGUUUGUUUGAUUUGAAAUUUGAGUAUGUUAAAUUAAAAAACAUGACAAAUAACUUUUGUGAAUGUAUCGUUUGAAGAUUCCAAUUCUAAAUGUUGAUAAAGACCCGUAGAAUUCUUACCAAUCAAAAUUUCAGUGCAGUUUAACUUUCUGUUUUAAGCAAAUGAAGCUAGAAUCGUCUCCUUUUUAGUUUCAAAAAAUCCAAGAAAAAUUAUAUAUUAUACUUGAAGAUGUGUAAAAUAUUUCUUCAGAAGGAAAUUUCUUCAAAAUCGCAACAUACAUCCAUCUACAAAAAUAGUAAAUCACGCACGUCUAGAAAACAAUUUCUAGAAGCAGUCUUUGUCUUUGGCCGAAUCAUUAUCUACGGUUCUUAUCUUGUCCUUUAAACCACAACUAAGCCUCACUAUGGCUAAUAUAACAUUUUUAACUAACACCCAUCCAUAUGUAAUGUCAUAUACACAUUUCUUACUUGUACGAAUUCUUAAAUAGAGGUACUCAACCCCUAAUCUAGAUUUAGAAGACAACUCACCAAUUUAAAACUAAUAGCGGCUCUCGUUGAUGGUUAGACAGCAACAAAGAGACCAGCCUUGGGUCUCUCGGUGAUAGUGUUGAGCCGAGAUAGCAGAGCGAUGUGCUGUGGUAUGACGGCAACAGCAACAGCAACACACGGAUUUAUAAACUUUUCGGUAGAGAACUAAAUGUGGAGUUUGGUCGGUUGUACAGUUCUCC
rnacentral:lncRNA from 1 species